CGAUUUUGUUUCGAUUCAACUUCCCAAGAUAGCAAGCGAAUCAAUCGUUUUGUAGUUUUUAAAAUAACAUAUCUCACUGUCAUCCGAGCCGAAGACGAUCCAAUGAUGGCACUAGUCAUGAACGAUAGUCUUCCGUAAUGAUUGUCCCUGCUACGAGUCCCAGGAAGGGUCAGUGCCGAUCCCCUAAUGAAGAAAAGUGAUCCAGGUAGGAAUUAACAAUUGGACCAAGCUUGGACCAGGUUUGGACCGAGACAACAAGCCAGACCUACUUCUAGAGUGGCAUCAUAGCUUAGGUCUGGUGUGGGAUAUGCUGGGAGUGAAACAUUGGAUCAAGUUGGGGAGUUAACCUUGACCCAAGGUUACCACAUUGCUUUAAAAAUCGGCUAUCAAACACUUGAACAUAAUGUAUAAACAACUUCUGUGCAAACCGUCCUAAAUGUUCACGUGAUGUCUAGUUAAUUAAUCAACUUGAAAUUACAUUUCACGUCUCAUUGUGCUCGUAUACCAUUGCUGGAGAAUGCUUGGGAGCGAUCGGGGUAUCAUGGGGUACCUAAGUAGGUAAUGUCUAUUUAAUUAACGAACCAGUAACAUAAGACAAUUCUUGAUUUUUUAAAUAAAAAUAAAAAAUAGUCGACGCCAAUGAAUUUUCCAUAAUUUUAUGACUCCAUUGGUAU